GCCACCUCAAGAAUUUGACAUGAGUGUGGUAUUUUGGACUCCAGCCAAAGUCCAUUCAUUCAUUUGAAUAGCUUGAGAGGCUAUUCAUGACUCACUUCGACAAUAACCGAGCACAGUCAAAGAAUACUGAUGGUCUUUUCUUGAUCCAACAAGAAGAGGAAGAAUCACUAUAUAGCUACGUGGUAGGCUUUAAUGCCACCACACUCGAAGUGUGUAAUUUUAAUGAGUUGAUGGCAAUGCU
rnacentral:lncRNA from 1 species